rnacentral:rRNA from 1 species
CCUAGGGGGGCUGCAGUGGGGAAUAUUGGACAAUGGGCGAAAGCCUGAUCCAGCCAUGCCGCGUGUGUGAAGAAGGCCUUCGGGUUGUAAAGCACUUUCAGUGGGGAAGAAAGCCUUGGGGCUAAUACCCUCGAGGAAGGACAUCACCCACAGAAGAAGCACCGGCUAACUCCGUGCCAGCAGCCGCGGUAAUAAGGAGGGUGCGAGCGUUAAUCGGAAUUACUGGGCGUAAAGCGCGCGUAGGCGGUCUGAUAAGCCGGUUGUGAAAGCCCCGGGCUCAACCUGGGAACGGCAUCCGGAACUGUCAGGCUAGAGUGCAGGAGAGGAAGGUAGAAUUCCCGGUGUAGCGGUGAAAUGCGUAGAGAUCGGGAGGAAUACCAGUGGCGAAGGCGGCCUUCUGGACUGACACUGACGCUGAGGUGCGAAAGCGUGGGUAGCAAACAGGAUUAGAUACCCGUGUAGUC